CAUCGAAGUGACCAUUGAUCGGAUGGUAGUGUUGGUGAGAUCGCAUCGAAGUUUUUUGCUAUCAUUCGACUACAUAUUUUCAUUGAAGUAGAGCGAAGACGCGGCUAAUGAAGGCUUUGAUUGAUCUUCUCGUUUGCGGUAGCGACAAUUCAAUCAAAACAUAAACAAAUCCUAACCCUUGCCCAAGUAACCUCACUUUGCAUUAGACGCAGGCACGCGUCUACAAAGUGGUGUCUUUACACCCAUUCACUACACUGGGCGCAAGAAGUCACGCGCGAUAACGGUCGUUCUGAUUGUAUGUUAUUUCUUAAGUACGUUUUAUGUUCUUGCUUUCGCGUUUGUUUGUGCUUAUCUGAAGUAACCCCGCGAUGUUGCAACUGAAGUUGGACGCUGGUCUCGUGAGUCAGCAGAGCUUGAGUAUGUGAAAUCGACCGCACAGCGAUGUAAACACGGACACGGAACAAUGAGAAAAUAGACAAACAAAACUGUUAACCUCCUCGACCAGCUGUUAGCAUGAAGGAGGGAGAAUUAUUGCCAUGUGAUGAUGAGCCAAUAAUUCUAAUAAAUCCCUUGCGGCUAGAUUGAAGAGACGGUUUCAUGUACUUAUAUGUACUUAUUGUUCAAUAACUAAUUUCAACAAAUUAAAGUUAAUGCAAUUGUCUUUUAUCAACAUUUGCUUGUGCAAAAUUACUCAGCGAUCAAUGAGUAUUAUUUUUUUCCAUAGUUCCGUCUUACUUUUCAGAUUUGAUAAUAA